rnacentral:rRNA from 1 species
GAUGAACGCUGGCGGCGUGCCUAAUACAUGCAAGUCGAGCGAACAGACGAGGAGCUUGCUCCUCUGACGUUAGCGGCGGACGGGUGAGUAACACGUGGAUAACCUACCUAUAAGACUGGGAUAACUUCGGGAAACCGGAGCUAAUACCGGACAAUAUAUUGAACCGCAUGGUUCAAUAGUGAAAGACGGUUUUGCUGUCACUUAUAGAUGGAUCCGCGCCGCAUUAGCUAGUUGGUAAGGUAACGGCUUACCAAGGCAACGAUGCGUAGCCGACCUGAGAGGGUGAUCGGCCACACUGGAACUGAGACACGGUCCAGGCUCCUACGGGAGGCAGCAGUAGGGAAUCUUCCGCAAUGGGCGAAAGCCUGACGGAGCAACGCCGCGUGAGUGAUGAAGGUCUUCGGAUCGUAAAACUCUGUUAUUAGGGAAGAACAAAUGUGUAAGUAACUAUGCACGUCUUGACGGUACCUAAUCAGAAAGCCACGGCUAACUACGUG